rnacentral:tRNA from 1 species
UCCUUCGUGGUGUAGUGGUCAGUACGCUCGACACGUAUGCGAGAGGUCCGUGGUUCGAGUCCCGGCGAGGGCA